GAUUAAGUUAUUAAGGGCGCACGGUGGAUGCCUUGGCACUAGAAGCCGAUGAAGGACGUUACUAACGACGAUAUGCUUUGGGGAGCUGUAAGUAAGCUUUGAUCCAGAGAUUUCCGAAUGGGGAAACCCAGCAUGAGUUAUGUCAUGUUAUCGAUAUGUGAAUACAUAGCAUAUCAGAAGGCACACCCGGAGAACUGAAACAUCUUAGUACCCGGAGGAAGAGAAAGAAAAUUCGAUUCCCUUAGUAGCGGCGAGCGAAACGGGAAGAGCCCAAACCAACAAGCUUGCUUGUUGGGGUUGUAGGACACUCUAUACGGAGUUACAAAGGACGACAUUAGACGAAUCAUCUGGAAAGAUGAAUCAAAGAAGGUAAUAAUCCUGUAGUCGAAAAUGUUGUCUCUCUUGAGUGGAUCCUGAGUACGACGGAGCACGUGAAAUUCCGUCGGAAUCUGGGAGGACCAUCUCCUAAGGCUAAAUACUCUCUAGUGACCGAUAGUGAACCAGUACCGUGAGGGAAAGGUGAAAAGCACCCCGGAAGGGGAGUGAAAUAGAACCUGAAACCGUGUGCUUACAAGUAGUCAGAGCCCGUUAAUGGGUGAUGGCGUGCCUUUUGUAGAAUGAACCGGCGAGUUACGAUUUGAUGCAAGGUUAAGCAGUAAAUGUGGAGCCGUAGCGAAAGCGAGUCUGAAUAGGGCGUUUAGUAUUUGGUCGUAGACCCGAAACCAGGUGAUCUACCCUUGGUCAGGUUGAAGUUCAGGUAACACUGAAUGGAGGACCGAACCGACUUACGUUGAAAAGUGAGCGGAUGAACUGAGGGUAGCGGAGAAAUUCCAAUCGAACCUGGAGAUAGCUGGUUCUCUCCGAAAUAGCUUUAGGGCUAGCCUCAAGUGAUGAUUAUUGGAGGUAGAGCACUGUUUGGACGAGGGGCCCCUCUCGGGUUACCGAAUUCAGACAAACUCCGAAUGCCAAUUAAUUUAACUUGGGAGUCAGAACAUGGGUGAUAAGGUCCGUGUUCGAAAGGGAAACAGCCCAGACCACCAGCUAAGGUCCCAAAAUAUAUGUUAAGUGGAAAAGGAUGUGGCGUUGCCCAGACAACUAGGAUGUUGGCUUAGAAGCAGCCAUCAUUUAAAGAGUGCGUAAUAGCUCACUAGUCGAGUGACACUGCGCCGAAAAUGUACCGGGGCUAAACAUAUUACCGAAGCUGUGGAUUGUCCUUUGGACAAUGGUAGGAGAGCGUUCUAAGGGCGUUGAAGCAUGAUCGCAAGGACAUGUGGAGCGCUUAGAAGUGAGAAUGCCGGUGUGAGUAGCGAAAGACGGGUGAGAAUCCCGUCCACCGAUUGACUAAGGUUUCCAGAGGAAGGCUCGUCCGCUCUGGGUUAGUCGGGUCCUAAGCUGAGGCCGACAGGCGUAGGCGAUGGAUAACAGGUUGAUAUUCCUGUACCACCUAUAAUCGUUUUAAUCGAUGGGGGACGCAGUAGGAUAGGCGAAGCGUGCGAUUGGAUUGCACGUCUAAGCAGUAAGGCUGAGUAUUAGGCAAAUCCGGUACUCGUUAAGGCUGAGCUGUGAUGGGGUCUUCGAGUCGUUGAUUUCACACUGCCGAGAAAAGCCUCUAGAUAGAAAAUAGGUGCCCGUACCGCAAACCGACACAGGUAGUCAAGAUGAGAAUUCUAAGGUGAGCGAGCGAACUCUCGUUAAGGAACUCGGCAAAAUGACCCCGUAACUUCGGGAGAAGGGGUGCUCUUUAGGGUUAACGCCCAGAAGAGCCGCAGUGAAUAGGCCCAAGCGACUGUUUAUCAAAAACACAGGUCUCUGCUAAACCGUAAGGUGAUGUAUAGGGGCUGACGCCUGCCCGGUGCUGGAAGGUUAAGAGGAGUGGUUAGCUUCUGCGAAGCUACGAAUCGAAGCCCCAGUAAACGGCGGCCGUAACUAUAACGGUCCUAAGGUAGCGAAAUUCCUUGUCGGGUAAGUUCCGACCCGCACGAAAGGCGUAACGAUUUGGGCACUGUCUCAACGAGAGACUCGGUGAAAUCAUAGUACCUGUGAAGAUGCAGGUUACCCGCGACAGGACGGAAAGACCCCGUGGAGCUUUACUGUAGCCUGAUAUUGAAAUUCGGCACAGCUUGUACAGGAUAGGUAGGAGCCUUUGAAACGUGAGCGCUAGCUUACGUGGAGGCGCUGGUGGGAUACUACCCUAGCUGUGUUGGCUUUCUAACCCGCACCACUUAUCGUGGUGGGAGACAGUGUCAGGCGGGCAGUUUGACUGGGGCGGUCGCCUCCUAAAAGGUAACGGAGGCGCUCAAAGGUUCCCUCAGAAUGGUUGGAAAUCAUUCAUAGAGUGUAAAGGCAUAAGGGAGCUUGACUGCGAGACCUACAAGUCGAGCAGGGUCGAAAGACGGACUUAGUGAUCCGGUGGUUCCGCAUGGAAGGGCCAUCGCUCAACGGAUAAAAGCUACCCCGGGGAUAACAGGCUUAUCUCCCCCAAGAGUUCACAUCGACGGGGAGGUUUGGCACCUCGAUGUCGGCUCAUCGCAUCCUGGGGCUGUAGUCGGUCCCAAGGGUUGGGCUGUUCGCCCAUUAAAGCGGUACGCGAGCUGGGUUCAGAACGUCGUGAGACAGUUCGGUCCCUAUCCGUCGUGGGCGUAGGAAAUUUGAGAGGAGCUGUCCUUAGUACGAGAGGACCGGGAUGGACAUACCUCUGGUGUACCAGUUGUCGUGCCAACGGCAUAGCUGGGUAGCUAUGUGUGGACGGGAUAAGUGCUGAAAGCAUCUAAGCAUGAAGCCCCCCUCAAGAUGAGAUUUCCCAACUUCGGUUAUAAGAUCCCUCAAAGAUGAUGAGGUUAAUAGGUUCGAGGUGGAAGCAUGGUGACAUGUGGAGCUGACGAAUACUAAUCGAUCGAAGACUUAAUCAA
rnacentral:rRNA from 1 species